rnacentral:lncRNA from 1 species
CUGCCUCUGGUGGCGUUGGACACUAUGCAGUCCAACUAGCAAAGCUCGGAAACACUCAUGUCACAGCCACCUGUGGAGCUCGUAACGUCGAAUUGGUUAAGAGCUUAGGGGCAGAUGAAGUUCUUGACUACAAGACCCCGGAUGGGGCAGCUCUGAAGAGCCCGUCUGGCCGGAAAUAUGAUGCUGUGAUCAACUGUGCAACCGGCAUCGCUUGGUUAACUUUUGAGCCUAAUUUGAGUGCAAAAGGGAAAGUUAUAGACAUUGCCCCAAAUGCAAGUUCUUUCACUACAUUUCUUUUGAAGAAACUCACUUUCUCCAAGAAGUCCUUGGUGCCAUUGCUCAUGAUCCCCAAGGCUGAGAGCUUGGAUUAUCUUGUUAAUUUGGUGAAGGAAGGAAAGCUCAAGACGGUGAUCGACUCAAAGCAUCCCAUAAGCAAGGCUGAAGAUGCUUGGGCUAAGAGUAUUGAUGGCCAUGCUACGGGGAAGAUCAUUGUGGAGCCUUAGGUAGCCAAAAUAUUAUAUCUUCAAAUUGUGAAGUACAUGUACUUAUAUUAAGGAUUGUAAACUUCAUACACUUUUUUUGGGACUGUAAAUUUCAUGUGGAUUAGAGCAUCUCCAACCGAUAUCUCAAAGAGGAAUGCUAGCAACCUUCUCCUUUGGAUCUUCUCCAUUUUUUGCUUGACAUGUGUCAUUAUCCUUACACUUAAAACAAUGUCAUUAAUAUAUUAUACAAGCUAACUUUUGCUUUUCAAGUUUACUCUUAUUAAAUGUAUUGAAUUUAUCCAAAAAAAUUUCAAAACUUUCUUACCAUCUUAUUAAUUUUUUUCUAAAGAAAAUAUAUGCUUUUAAGAGGAAAUGUCCGGUUUUUUUUUUUAAUUUAAAUUUUUUUUAUUUUUAACACAAAGGGUUUAGAUAGAAAAAAAAAAAAAAAAGUCCUUUGUGUUUUUAAAAAAACGGACAUUUCCUCUUUUUUGAAAAAAUCGUAUAUUUUCUUUAAAAAAAUAAUUGACGUUAAAAAAAAAUGAUGGUAAGAAAGUUGUGAAUUUUUUUUUUGGAUAAAUUGAAUACAUUUAAUAAGGGUAAAAUUUGAAUAGCAAAAGUUAACUUGUAUAAUAUAUUAAUGACAUUGUUUUAAGUGUAAGGAGAAUGACACAUGUCAAGUAAAAAAUGGAGAAGGUCCAAAAGAGAAGGUUAGAGAGAAGGUUGCUAGCAUUCCCCUAUGUCAAAAGUGUCACAUAACCAUUUAACGGCUAGAAAUAACAUUGCACAUCACUCCAACCGAUGUGUCAAAGUGGAUGUGGAAUGAAGGCUGGAAGUUUAGAUGUUAUUUUUGACAUCUCAAAAGCAUGAUGUCAAAUGAAUAUUUUAUUAUUAUUCUUUUCUUUUCUUUUUAAUUAAAAAUAAAUCAACACUAAAAUUUAAUAAAAUAAUAAUUUAAUUUGACAUAUUGGGUGGAGUGUAAAGCUGUGUAAGAUGUCAAAUUGCCACAUCAGCUAUUAAAUUUAAAUUUGAUGUUUGGUAUUUGACAUCUUCCUUGGAGAUGCUCUUAGAACAACGUAUUAAUACUUUGUACAUUUUUCUUUAUUUUGUUGAGAAAUUCAAGAGUUAUAAGGUAUUUUUGAGUGAAACUAGGCUCCGAUACUAAUACGAGCUCAUGAGUAGAACUUUCCCCUAAAAAUCGGUUUGUAAAAAUUUGAUUCAAAGCGGCAAUCAGAACUUGCAAAAAAAAGAAUAAAUUUUUUGAUUCAAUUGUCGACCUGCACAUUAUAAAAUCCAAACAUCUUCGGGAGCACAAUCUAAUUAUCUAUGGCACUUUUUAAAGAAAGUACAACCUAUACAUAGUAUACAUAAAAAUGCAGGGUAUUUCCGUCAUUUUAAUUAAUAUUACAGUUGGCAACUUGAGAUGCAUCCACGUGUGGUAUACGUCAAAAACCUUCCACAAGAAUCUAGUAACGCUUCCUCUCUCUCUCUCUCUCUCUCUCUCUCUGUUCAAAUCUUGGAUCUUUCCUUUCUCUUUUGUCUCUGCCGACUCAGGUUAUGGCAGCAGCCAUGGCGUCGAAGCUUAUGCAUGCGGUUCAGUACGACAGCUACGGUGGAGGAGCUUCUGGUUUAAAGGUUCUUUCUUUUUCUACUUGUUUACUUUCAUCUUUCAUUCCUGCUGUGAUUUUUGCUUCUGGUAUUUUGUUAACCGCUUAAUAUUCGGUGGUGUGUAAAAGAAGAAAAAAAAACUGUAUUAACUUUUAGAGUGGUGGGUGGGAGAGUUCAGGCUUAAAAUUGAUUGCAUCAAAAAUAUUUUUGGCCAUGAAAUCCAAAAGGAAAAACGAGAAACAGAACAACCAAUGAGAAAAUGCUUCAGGGUUGUGUUGAAUAUUUACUUACUUGUAGAGAACUUGAAAAUUGUUUAUAAUUUAUGUUUGUUUGCAGCAUGCGGAGGUUCCAGUCCCCACUCCAAAGAAAGGUGAUAUCUUGCUGAAAUUGGAAGCUGCUAGUUUAAACCCAGUUGAUUGGAAAAUUCAGAAAGGCAUGUUUCGGCCUCUUUUGCCACGCAAAUUCCCUCAUAUACCUGGUAAGUGCUGUUUUGCCUGGUGUUGUAGUUGUGUAUUUCAGAUCUAUGCAUCUUUGACAUUAUAAUAUAGAAAUUAUUCCACAACACCAAAAAAAAAAGGUUAUGCCUUUUUGGCACACCGGUGUUUCUGGGAUGACCAACAUGCUAUCAAACUCAACUGAAAAAUGAAUAAAAAAUUGAAUGCUCUCUCGGUGACAUGAAUUGACGACUCCAGUUUUUUACCUGCCUCCUUUACAGACUCUGCUGUGCUUGUUUUUGCAAAUCUUUUAUCACUGCCUGUAGUUUUUGGUGAUGUGAAAUUUACUCAAUUUUGUUAAGUUCAACUAGAAUUUGCCUGUUCCCAGAAACAGUUAACUUUCUGGGAACGUAUUGAUUGAUAAACUAUUUGAUCUUGAUUAAUUACUGCAUCAUUGGAACAUAAAGCAUACCCACUGUGUCUUGAAGAGAUUGCCAUCUAUGAAGAAGUGAAUAUUGAAAAGUGAUCAUAAUGGUUACGGAUUAAUAUAUUUCAGUAAAAUCUCUCAUUCAGACUUUAUUCAUUUGUGGAAGUAUUGCAAGAGUUGAGGUAGAAAAGUUAAACAAAUUUGUGCUUUGAUUUUUAAGUGGAUGAAUAUCAUUCAUAUAUUGUUAGAAGAGUUGUUUUGUGAGUCAUAGGCUGAUAGGUUGGUUUGAUAACAUUGUUUAGCUAAUGACAAUCUUGGGAACAGUUACUGAUGUUGCUGGAGAGGUUGUAGAAGUUGGACAAGGGGUCCAAAAGUUCAAACCGGGCGACAAAGUUGUGGCAUUUCUCACCCACACUGUAAGUGUUCAUUUUAUUCCUUUGGUUAAGCUCUCCAUUUCUUGAGGAAGUUUCACUUAUAAAUCUCAUUUGUUUGUUAGAAUGGAGGUGGACUAGCUGAAUUUGCUGCAGCUAGUGAGAGCUUGACAGUUGCCAGGCCACCUGAAGUUUCAGCGGCUGAUGGUGCAGGCUUACCUGUUGCUGGUCUCACAGCUCACCAGGCUCUCACCCAAGCUGCAGGGGUCAAGCUUGACGGAUCUGGCCAGCAAAAGAACAUAUUGAUUACUGCUGCCUCUGGUGGUGUGGGUCAGUAUGCAGUCCAACUAGCAAAGCUCGGAAACACUCAUGUUACAGCCACGUGCAGUGCUCGUAACAUCGAAUUUGUCAAGAGCUUGGGGGCAGAUGAGGUUCUCGACUACAAGACCCCAGAAGGAGCAGCUCUGAAUAGUCCAUCUGGUAGGAAAUAUGAUGCUGUGGUCCAUUGUGCUACGGGCAUUCCCUGGUCAACUUUCGAGCCUAAUUUGAGCGCCAACGGGAAGGUUAUAGACCUUACUCCUAGUCCAAGUGCCUUUGCUACUUUUGCUCUGAAGAAACUCACCUUCUCCAAGAAGCAGCUGGUGCCACUGUUCAUGAGUGCCAAGAGUGAGAACCUUGAUUAUCUUGUCAAGUUAGUGAAGGAAGGAAAGCUCAAGACUGUGAUCGACUCGAAGCAUCCUCUGAGCAAGGCUGAAGAUGGUUGGGCUAAGAGUAUUGAUGGACAUGCAACUGGGAAGAUAAUUGUGGAGCCUUAAGUAGACAAACGAAAACUAUAGUGGGAUAUAAACCUCACGUACUUGAUGGAAGUUGUUUGAUACAGAUAGUUAUGUCAUGUGUAAUAUAAAAUUAUAUAAUAAUGUGGGGUUUUAUAAUCCUGAAUCAAUAUUGUAAAUAUUGAGGUUUGGAUUAUAUAUUGUUCAUUUUCAUGUUGAUUAUAUUUCACAGUAAAUUCAUAUAGUUCUCUCAAAAACGAAUUUACUCGGUUAUCAAACCAGUAAUAUGGGUUUAGACUCUAGAGAGAGAUGACGAUGGUUGAUAUAAUCAAAUGAAAUAUAAAUAUAUAAAAAAUAGAAAGCCGAAGCAUCAUGAAUCAUGAACAAUUCUACUCUGUUUUACUAUAGACGUGGGCUAAUUACGCACUAGCAACAACGCAAGCUUACUUCAUAAAAUCUGAGACGAGUUUCAAGUUCUGUCGAUUCUUCUGAACAAAACUGAGGGAAGCCUAGGGUGGCAACAAAAAAAAAAAACUGAGGGAGGCUAUGGCGAAAAAUGUUAUGCAUGCAGGCUGUGGUGGUGGACGACCUUCUGGCUUAGAGGUUAUUCAAAUUACAUUUCUUCAAUUUCUAAAUAAAAGUUUCCCUCUGUCAAAUUAGUUUCCUUUUGUUUCUCUUGAAUUAUACUCUCUGUUUGUCCUUGAAGAAAAACCCUUUUACAUUACACGAUCAACUUGUCCACUAUAAACCCCAUGAAAAUUAAAUCACAUGGUGCCUAAUGGAUCUUUUUUCAAGUACUUGUUUGAGUAAAUCAAAAUUUGAAAUGUUGUGAAGGAAAAGAUAAAGGGAGUCUUUUCUGAGUUUUCUUCUUUCCUUUUGCUAAUGUUUUUAUGUUGGGAGAAGGGAUACGGGUUGAGAAAAACUUGCAUGUCACGUGAUAGCACAUAUUAAGCGUGGCAUAACGUGAUUGAUUGGGGAUAGCAAAACAGUGCUAUCCCCAUGACAUGCAAAUUCUUCUUUCUUCUCGUAAGGGUGUGGUGGAGGUUGUGGUUGAGAAUGACCAAGACUAGCUUUUGUACUUGGAAAGGAAACAUACAAUUUGUUUAUGCAUUGAAGAACAUAUUAUUGUUAAGUCAUUGGCCCUUAAUCAAUUUUGGUGCUAAUUGCAGCAUGUUGAAAUUCCAAUUCCAAAUUCAUACAAAGAUCAAGGGAGAGGUGUUGCUGAAAUUGGAGGUGGCUAGUCUAAAGUCAACCCCAUUUGAUUGGAAUGGAAAGUUUGAGAAAGGUAUGCCGUGGACUUUGUUGCCUCCCACCAAUUUUCACACGUACCUCAUGUGACAGCCACUCGCACUUUUGUGGAGCUCGUAGCCUUGACUUGGUCAAGACCUCAGAAGGAGCAAGCAGCUCUACAAGAGAAGAGUCCAUCUCCAUUUGGUCCAAAAUAUGAUGCUGUGAUGUGAUCCAUUAGGCAUUCCUCUGUCAACUUUUCAGCCUAAUUUGAGUGCCACUGGUAUGAUGCUGCUGUGAUUCUAAUGCGAACUCAUGAGUAGAACUUGCCUCUAAAAACCGAAUUGUAAAAGUUUGGUUCAACUCGGCAAUCAGAAUUUUCCAAAUUUUUUUUUUAAAGUUCGAUUCAAUUUUCGGCCAACACAUUGUGAAAAUCAAAACUUUUUGAAAGAAAGCACAACCUAUAGCACUUUUCAAAGAAAGCACAGCCUAUAUAUACGUCAAAACCAUUCCACAAGAAUGUAGUAACACGUCCUCUCUCUCUCUCUCUCUCUCUCUCUCGUAAAAUCUAGGAUCUUUCCUUUCUCGUCUGUCUCUGCUGACUCAGGGUAUGACAUUGGCAGCCAUGGCGACAAAGCUUAUGCGUGCGGUUCAGUACAACAGCUAUGGUGGAGGAGCUUCUGGUUUAAAGGUUCCUUCUUUAUCUACUUGUUUCUUCUAUCAAUGUUAUUUGGUAUAAUUCUCUCAUAUUUCAUUCCCUGCUGUGAUUUUUGCUUCUGACAUUUUGUUAACCGCUUAAUAUUCUCUGGUGCGUAAAAAAAAGAAAAAAAAAUGCAUCAACUUUUAGAGUGGUGGGAGAGUUCAGGCUUAAAACUGAGUGCAUCCUAAAUAUGUUUGGCCUUGAAAUCCCAAAGGGAAAAAAGAGAAACUGAACAACCAGUGAGAAAAUGCUUCAGGGUUGUGUUGAAUGUUUACUUGCUUGUGCCUCUUCUUUGCUUUUCAAAAGCAAUAAAUCCAUGGACGAAAUCAUACAAGUGUAAAAAGACCUUAAUAAAUUGUUUUAAAUAUAUUUUAUGUUUGGUGCAGCAUGUAGAGGUUCCAGUGCCCACUCCAAAGAAAGGUGAGAUCUUGCUGAAAUUGGAAGCAGCUACUAUGAACCCGGUUGAUUGGAGAAUUCAGAAAGGCAAGAUGCGGCCUUUUUUUCCACCCAAAUUCCCUCAUAUACCUGGUAAGUUCUGUUUUGCCUGGUUUUCCCCUAAACCCCUUCUUAUAUUCAUAUCAUUCAAUUGGUAGCAUAUAAGCUGCAACAUACUGAUCAACAAACUGCCUGAUUUUUAUUAAUUACUACAUCAUUGGAACAUAAAGCAUACGCUCUGUGUCCCAAAAGAAUUUUCCUCUUUGAGGAAGUGAUCAUAAUGGUUACAGAUUAAUACAUCUUGACUCUCGAUAAAAUCUCUCAUUGAGACUUUUAUUCAUUUGUGGAAGUAUUGAGAGAGUUGAGGUAGAUAAAUUAGUUGGAUUCCGAAACAAAUUUGUGCUUCGACUUUUAAAAUGGGUGAACAUCAUUCCUAUGUUACGAGAAGAGUUUUGUGAUUUAUACAAGCAGUGUUUGUGAGUCUUAGGCUGGUAGGUUGGUUUGUUAACAGUGAUUGGCUAAUGAAAAUAUUGGGAACAGCUACUGAUGUUGCUGGAGAGGUUGUAGAAGUUGGAAAAGGGGUCCAAAAGUUCAAACCGGGCGACAAAGUUGUGGCAUAUCUCACCCUCGCUGUAAGCCUUCAUUGUAUUCCUUUGGUUAAUCUCUCCCUUUCUUGAAGAAUUUAUUGCACUUGGCAACAAGUUUCACUUAUAAAUUUCGUUUGUUUGUUAGAAUGGAGGUGGACUGGCUGAGUUUGUCACAGCUAGUGAGAGCUUGACAGUUGCCAGGCCACCUGAAGUUUCAGCAGCUCAAGGUGCAGGCUUACCUAUUGCUGGUCUCACAGCUCUCCAGGCUCUCACCCAAGCUGCAGGGCUUAAUCUCGACGGAAGUGGCCAGAAAAAGAACAUCUUGAUUACUGCUGCCUCUGGUGGUGUGGGUCAGUAUGCAGUCCAACUAGCAAAGCUCGGAAACACUCAUGUUACAGCCACAUGCGGUGCUCGUAACAUCGAAUUUAUCAAGAGCUUGGGGGCAGAUGAGGUUCUUGACUACAAGACCCCAGAAGGAGCAGCUCUGAUUAGCCCAUCUGGUAGGAAAUAUGACAUCGCUGUCCAUUGUGCAAUAACGGGCAUUCCCUGGUCAACUUUCAAGCCUAAUUUGAGCGCCAACGGGAAGGUUAUAAACAUUACUCCUGGUCCAAGUACCUGGGCUGCUAUUGCUCAGAACACACUCACCUUCUCCAAGAAGCAGCUGGUGCCACUGCUCUUGUGGGCUAAGAGUGAGAACCUUGAUUAUCUUGUCAAGUUAGUCAAGGAAGGAAAGCUCAAGACAGUGAUCGACUCUAAGCACCCUCUAAGCAAGGCUGAAGAUGCUUGGGCUAAGAGUAUUGAUGGACAUGCAACUGGGAAGAUAAUCGUGGAGCCUUAAGU